rnacentral:sRNA from 1 species
GGAGCCAAGAUGGCGGCCGAGUUGGAGUACGAGUCUGUGCUGUGUGUGAAGCCGGACGUCAGCGUCUACCGGAUUCCGCCCCGGGCCUCCAACCGCGGUUACAGGGCAUCUGACUGGAAAUUAGACCAGCCUGAUUGGACUGGUCGCCUCCGAAUCACUUCAAAAGGGAAGACUGCCUAUAUCAAACUCGAGGAUAAAGUUUCAGGGGAGCUCUUUGCUCAGGCACCAGUAGAACAAUAUCCUGGUAUUGCUGUGGAGACAGUGACAGAUUCCAGCCGCUACUUUGUAAUCCGGAUCCAGGAUGGUACUGGUAAGAGAACUGGGAUUUUGAGUGGAACGCAGCCAUGAAAAGUGUGUCUGAUUGCAUUUAUCUUUCUUUGGUUUACUUCAUUUUUUCUUCCCUUUCUCUAAAGUUGCUAUAGUUGCUAAAGGAAAAGUAUUAACGUGUUAUUUGUAAUAGAUAAGCACAAGUUCAAGAUGUGGUAAUUCAUAUGUAGACUUAAAUAAAUCAAAAACACAUAGCUAACAAAUGAAUUAACACAUUUUGCACUUUAGGAGGCCGAGGUGGGUGGAUCACCUGAGGUCAGGAGUUCGAGGCCAGCCUGACCAGUAUGAUGAAACCCCGUCGCUACUGAAAAUACAAAACUUAGCCAGGCGUGGUGGCAGGUGCCUGUAAUCCCAGCUACUCGGGUGGCUGAGACAGGAGAAUCGCUUGAAUUGGGGAAGUGGAGGUUGCUGAGAUCAUGCCAUUGCACUCCAGCCUGGGCAACAAGAGCGAAACUCCAUCUCAAAAAAAAAAAAAAAACCACACACUUCUUGCCUGUUUAUUGUUUGUGGUAGUUUUUGGUGGGACUAUCUUGAAUCAUCUUACGUGUGGGGCAGUUAUUCUUACUCUUUUCUCCAUGGUCUAUAACAGAGGUUGGCAAACAGACAAAUAAUAAAUAUUUUAGGUUUUGCAGGUCAAGUGGCCUCUGUUGCAACUACUCAGUUUUGCUGUUGUAGUGUGAAAGCACUGUAGAAAAUAUGUAAACACGUUGAUAUCACUGUGUUCCAUGAAACUUUUUCUACAAAACCAAGCUAUGGCAGGAUAAAGCCCAUGGGCUCUAUGUAGUUUAUCGACUCUUGGUCUAUGAGAAGAUGUUUCACAUUCAGACUUUGUCUAGUUAGGGUGACUGUUAUGUUUUCAUUGGGCAAAAUUUGCCGUAGAGCAGCAGUCCUCAACCUUUUUGGCACCAGGGACCCGUUUUGUGGAAGACAGUUUUCCACAGACCGGCAUUAGGGGAUGGUUUCAGGAUGAUUCAAGUGCAUCACAUUUAUUGUACACUUUAUUUCUAUUAUUAUUACAUUGUAAUGUAUAAUGAAAUAAUUAUACAACUCACUAUAAUGUAGAAUCAGUGGGAGCCUUGAGCUUGUUUUCCCCCAACUAGACGGGGGUGAUGGGAGACCCCCAUCUGGGGGUGAUGGGAGACAGUGACAGAUCAUCAGGCAUCAGAUUCUCAUAGGGAGCACAUAACCUAGAUCCCUCACAUGUGCAGUUCACAGUAGGGGUCACACCCCUCUGAGAAUCUAAUGCUGCCACUGAUCUGACAGGAGGCAGAGCUCAGGUGCUAAUGCAAGUGAUGGGGAGCGGCUGUAAAUACAAUGAAGCUUUGCUCUCUUGUGUACAACUCACCUCCUGCUGCAUGGCCUGGUUUCUCACAGGCCACAGACUGGUGCCGGGGGUUGGGGGCUCCUGCCAUAGAGGAUACUUCUUAGUUGAGUCUUCCUACCUUUUCCACAGGGCGCAGUGCUUUCAUUGGCAUUGGCUUCACAGAUCGGGGAGAUGCCUUCGACUUUAAUGUCUCCUUGCAGGAUCACUUCAAGUGAGUGAAGCUUGUCCUUAGUUACGAGGUCGAAUGCUUGUAGGAAUGCUGCUUCUCACGUGAAUGGGCAGUAUCUCUUUUCCUCCUGGUUUCUUUAUUUCUUCAACUAUUUCAUUGUGAAUAUAAAUCUCCUCAUUCACUUUUGUUUCCUUGGGUCAUCUUUGUAUCUAUUCUGUUUCCUUUCCUUAUAGCCUGCAAUAUGUUUUAGAUCCCUUGUGCAGUAGUUUGAAAUGAUGCUCUGUCGAAUGUUGCCCCGUCUUUUAGGUGGUAGAGGGAGGCCUAUGGUAACAGCAGGGCUUUAUGUGGGGAGUUGUGUGCCACUCUUGUUACCUUAUGUAGCUGACAUGUUUUGUGACUUUUGCAACAUUUCUUUAGUCCACUUGAUUUUGGUGCAGCUGUGGUGACAGCACUAUGCACACUGUGAGCUUCCUACCUCAAGAGCAAGCAUAUCUCUCCUUUCCUGCCUCAGGACUCUCUGAAGUUAUAGAAGGCUAAGAGCAAGCUUUAACUUGGAGAGACUAAGAAACUAACACCCCCUCAGGAGCAGCCCUCAACUGUGGGGAAUGGGAAUUGGUGGCUAAAUGCCAUCCUUUUGGAAGAGGCAAUUCUAAUACGUAUUCCUUGAGAUUUCUCAGAGAGUCCCCAGUGGAAUUGAACCCCAGUAGUUUUCUUUCUUGGCUUUUUUCCCUUUUGUUUCUCACUCUUUUUUAUCUCUCACUGUGUUUUCUGGAAUCUCAUUUCAUAAAAGUAAAUACACCCAAAUUUGUAUGUCAGACUCUGCUUUCAGGAAAUCUCAAACUAAGAUAACUUGCUGUGUUCCCAAAGGUGGGUAAAGCAGGAAUCUGAGAUUUCCAAGGAAUCUCAAGAAAUGGAUGCUCGUCCUAAGUUGGAUCUGGGCUUCAAGGAAGGACAAACCAUCAAGUUGAGUAUCGGGGUGAGUAUGGUUUUUAAAAAUUUUGUUUUCCUGUGCUUCCAUAAGCCUAUGACAUCUUUCUCUUGCUCUUCUUUUUUUCUUUUGUAGAACAUUACAAACAAGAAAGGAGGUGCUUCCAAGCCCAGGACUGCAAGGGGUGGGGGCCUGAGCUUACUCCCACCCCCGCCAGGAGGCAAAGUCACUAUUCCCCCACCAUCCUCCUCAGUUGCCAUCAGCAAUCAUGUCACCCCACCACCCAUUCCGAAAUCUAACCAUGGAGGCAGUGAUGCAGAUAUCCUUUUAGAUUUGGAUUCUCCUGCUCCUGUCACGACACCAGCACCAACUCCAGUUUCUGCAAGCAAUGACUUGUGGGGAGACUUCAGCACUGCAUCCAGCUCUGUUCCAAACCAGGCACCACAGCCAUCCAACUGGGUCCAGUUCUGAAUGGCAUUGGCAGGACAUUAAGGACAGACUUGAGGAAUAAAAAUGACCUUGAGGGCACCAAUCUGUGAGGGAAGUUAGGAACCCAUUUCCUCCCCAGAAUCAAAAUGACUGGACAAUCUUUUUCGUAGCUUCUCCAUCACAUUCAAGCUGGUUUAUGUCACUCCCCUGUGUUGUUACUUGUACAGCCAAGAAAGUAUCUGUUAAUCUCCUGCUUAGUACCAAGGUAGGGGACUAGUGAAUCUUAUCAUAGUUUUGGCUGACUAUGCAGGGCUCAAAAGGCCAGCGUCUGUUUGAGGGGGAAUGACCUCUGACAUCUGUAAAAUUUGUCUCAUCUUUUAAAUUCUUUAACUUAUUUCAAAAUCAUCUCAUGACCCUCGUGUGCCUCUUUGUGAAGCCCUAUUUAGCAAUUUCAGGGGAGUCAAAAACCUUGCAACUUCCUUCUCCACUAACCCAGGACUAAAAAUGGACAGGCUGACCUUAGUGUUUACAAAUUCAGAAUUUUGAUAGGGGUAGAUAUGGAGAAAGACCUAUUUCCUGGGUCUCUGCUGUGUAGUCUCCUUCAGGCUUAUUGUACACAGUGAACAUCCAGUGCUGGGUGCAGCUCCAUCACCCUCUUGUGUGUUUACAUGUCUCUUUCUAUGAUAAGAGGGUUGUGUUGGUGGCACCUCCACUACUCUUUUCUGUUUGUUGAAUUUGAAUUGUGUAACAUCUUUGACCAGUGGGUGUUUCUGUAAUGAAGGAGGUUCAAGAGGCUGUGCUUUCCAAGUGAUAGUCUAUAGGAAUGUUUGAUUUCUUGCAGCUCCAUCUGGUUGCUGCAUUUGAAGCAUGGCAUUAAUUUGUAUUUGCCCUGUUGUUUGACCUUAAGUUGAAGGGUUUAGAGUUUUUAACCUGAUCUGUAGAGCAGAGAGGUUGAAAGCACUUAACUCUUGUUUAGUAUCCUCAUUGCCUUGCUGCCUGGGUAUCUGGCCCCUUUUCAUAAACAUUUCUUUUCAGUUCAUGUAGUUCUUUAAUAGAAAGCUGCUAUUAUGUAUAUUGUCAUUUGUGAAGGAAGUUGGAGAGUCACAGAUUUACUGUGACAGGUUUUGCCCAAGUCUGUGAUACCUGUCACCCAGGGUAUCUUAAAAGCAAGUUGUUCUCCCACUACUUUCCUUUCCCUCUGCCCUGCCAUUCCUUUUACAAUGCUGUGAAAAAAGUUCUGCUUCUUAGGUGAAUGGGUACUUUCUAUUUUGUUUCUAAAUGAGCAAUUUUGAGGAUGAAAUGGGAAGAUAUCAUUUCUUCCUUUUUGCACCUAUUAGGUAUGUACACUCUCUGGCUGAAGGGAGUCCUUAUGUUUAGUUUCAAAAUAUAUUACUUUCCUGGAUUCCCUUCUUAACGUUUUCUGACUUUGGGUCCAUUUUCUUUUCAUUGCCUCCUUUUCCAGGCAGCUCUAUUCUUGCAGAGCCAUGGCAGGACAUAUUAAAAUUCCAGUAGAAAACACUAAAAGGAAAGUCUGUAGAAUCACUAGUGACUAAAUACUGGGAACCUAUUUUCUCAAUCUUCCUCCAUGUUGUGUUCUUUGUAUUCUCAAGAUGAUAAUAUAUUAUGUAUUUGAAUUCCUGAAAAAUGGAAAAUGUUUAAGAUAUAUGUAUAUAAAGCAUAUGCUGUAUUGGUGCAAUAAUGGUAAUUAAAAAUAUGAAAAAGUG